UACGGAGGAUGCGAGCGUUAUCCGGAUUUAUUGGGUUUAAAGGGUGCGUAGGUGGGAUGCCAAGUCAGCGGUAAAAAUGCGGUGCUCAACGCCGUCGAGCCGUUGAAACUGGCGUUCUUGAGUGGGCGAGAAGUAUGCGGAAUGCGUGGUGUAGCGGUGAAAUGCAUAGAUAUCACGCAGAACUCCGAUUGCGCAGGCAGCAUACCGGCGCCCUACUGACGCUGAGGCACGAAAGCGUGGGUAUCGAACAGG
rnacentral:rRNA from 1 species